rnacentral:rRNA from 1 species
GACGGAGGAGGCAAGCGUUAUCCGGAAUUAUUGGGCGUAAAGGGGACGUGGGCGGCUGGUCAAGUCUGGGGGCAAAGGCCACAGCUCAACUGUGGGAAGGCCCUGGAAACUGACCGGCUAGAGUGAGGUAGGGGUUGCGGGAAUUCCCGGUGUAGCGGUGAAAUGCGUAGAGAUCGGGAAGAACACCUGAGGCGGAAGCGCGCAACUGGGCCUCAACUGACGCUGAGGUACGAAAGCUAGGGGAGCGAAUGGG